CUUAGAAUGGAUAGGGCAAGUUUUACCAAAUUAUGUGAUAUUUUACAUACCACAAGCAAACUUAGUAGUACAAAGUACCUUCAAAUAGAUGAACAAGUUGCCAUAUUCGUGUAUGUGCUAGUGUGACACCCCCAAAAUAGGUAUACAUCACCUAUCCUGAGUCGCCAAAUACAUGGUACAGAAUACAAAUACAAUCUUUAAUAUACAACAAAAGAGCUGUGAGUUUUAAUACAACUAUUGUCUUCUAGACAAUAUCCAAUCUCAGAAUAAGUCCUCAUUACAUUUAUUGUCACACUAUUUAACAGAAUAGUGAGGACUACUAAUGCUAUCCUCUGGACCGUCACUCCGUUCCCCGACUAAUCCCCGCUACGUUCUCAUUUCCUGAAGAGAAUAAUGAAAGCAAAAGGGUGAGCUCAACUAGCCCAGUAAGAAAUAUUAUGACUAAGAUAAUGCAGAAUAAAUUAUCAUUAGUCUUCAACAAUGUUAAACUGAUAAAAUACAAUAGACAUCAAGUUUAACUGCAGCGGAACAAGCAAUCCAUUAAAAGAGUCAAGUAGAGAAUAAAAUCUACUAGGACUGAGCAUUCGGUUAAUAACCGAACCGAACCAGUAAUUCGGUUAUAACCGGUAUCCGAAAAAGCACUGUUUUAACUAUCCGAACAAGUAACCGGAUUUUGCACUAACCGAAUAACCGAAUUAAAAAGAAAUAUCAGCAACACAGUUUAAUUCCUACAAUCCAUAAACAACAAACACAGUUCCUACAAUCCAUUAACAGUUCCAUAAACAACACAGUUACUAGUUAAACAGUUCCAUAAACAACGCAUUUACUAGUUAACAGUCCCAUAAACAACACAGUUAAUAGAUAACAAUUCCAUAACAACACAGUUACUAGUUAUUAGUUAACAGUUCCAUAACAACAUAAUCCACUUGCUAGUUGCUAGUUGCUGCUGUUGCUACCACUUGCUAGUUGUUGUUGUUGCCUGAUAAACU
rnacentral:lncRNA from 1 species